GACAGCCCUGCUCCUUGUUCCCAUUCCUCCCUCGCGGGAACCCUAGCCGCCGCCCUCUCCCACUCGUCCUCCUCCCCCGCUCCCCUUCCUGGCGGCGCCCCCGACAGCUGCGAGACGUCUUCUCCUCCCCAUCGUCGAACUCAGGCCACCGCUCCGUCACGUUUCCUCACGCAGAUGCAGGUGGACGCGGACUUCGUCCACCACGGCCGCAGGUCAGCCGACGGCCAUGGCCAUGGCGCUGCCCGAUCCGCCGGCCGCAGCAGCGCUCCCGGAAGACCAAGCCCGCCUCCUCCCUUUGUGUGGUUUCUGUCGAGCUCCGCAAGAUCCACAAUCGCACGCCGUAAGAGGUGGAUGAGGGGUUCAACUGCUUCCUUUGUCGGGUGAUGACUGCCUGGCCGUCCGGUGGGUGGGCUUUGAUGCCGGUCUUCCUCCCUCCUCAGCUCCGACGCCACCAUGGAUCUCUUCAAGGCCACCGAAACAGAUCCAACUACUGUUGCUCUUUCCCAUCCUCCUCAUCUCAUCUGUCUUCUUGGCCUGGAACAACGAAAGCGGCAGAGAACAGCUGAUGGUGGCGCUGCUAGAGUCCCUAGAGGCGACCUCUGAUCUGCUUUUAGUUGCCUGGUUGGUUCAAUGGCGAGACUGGGAGGGUUGAUAGACGUCAUUUUGGCUUCCUGGUUAGUUCAAUUCCAUUCACUCUUCCCAAAUUGAUAACUCUACAUAUGCCCGGGGAUUCUCAAGGGCGAGUCACACUACAGUCCUAUCUUUUACUCUCGCUAUCUCUGUAAGCUUCAUUACUUGGAGUGAAUUCACGGCAACUUUUUUGAUUUUUGCAGAGAUCUGUAAAUGAAAAAUUGAAACACAUAUGCAAUAACAGUAGCCUUCUUCAGGGUAUAGAUCUGCAGUAUUUAUACCAUGCGUGGCGAUGAUGCUGACGCUGUGGCCCGACCCGACCGGGCCUUUGGCUUUCACACAAAGAAUCGGAUCCGAGGGUGUGCAUGGGAUGGACUCCACGAUGGUUCUCACGGUCUCACGAGCCAGAACUUGCGGGCAUCACCUCUUUGCAUUUCUAUUUGUUUUUUUUUUUUACUUUUUGCCAUCACUGGAUUCGUCACGGGCACAGAGAAGGGGUGAACAUAGUACUUCUCUCCACAGCCAACUCAUAGGCCAGGAAACAUUGCCUACAGUGUAUAUUGUAUCGGAUAGUCAGAUUUAAAAAUAACGUUUUGCCAUGGUCGUACAAUCAGGUACAUGGAGUACAUUAGUUGCUUAGGUUUCGUAAUACACGGUUCCCAUGAUGUAUGCCAACAGAGCUCCCGAUUGACUGACGAUGUUCAAAUAUAUAAGAGUACUCUCAUAUGAUGGUUACCUGCAACUCUAACUAUGAAAACUAGAAGUGAGUUGUUUCCAUCGUUUUCCUAUAAAAUUAUUAAUGUGAUUGCUUUCCUCUCUAUUUUUUUUGUGGAAGACAUAUAGGGUUGUGCCAUAAUUAUAUUAUAGGCAUGAACAAAAUAAGUGUUUCUCGAAGACAUGAACAAAAUAAGUUAUAUUUGCUCCAAACUUGCAAAUUUGUUAUUGGAGUUUUAUAUUCGUUCCAGUUGACACUAAAACAUACUUGCAUUAGUUAUGCCAUUUUUAUGAGGUUGUAUGCAGCAAACAACAUGUUGCAGUCAUUUUUCUAUAUCCAGUCUGCAUAGAAACACACGAUAUGCACUCUCUUUACAAGCGGGCAAUGCAGGAUCUCACUGUUAGUAUAAGAAGCCAAUUCACUAUUCUAACUUUGUUUUUUUACUGCAGUUACAUACUUUGUUCAUAAGAUUGCUGUUAUAUUCUGAGCACAAUCUUUGAUGUUUUUUGUUUCCCUUGUGCUUAGGCUCACAAUCUGGGCACACAUAUUUUCAUCUAGUAUAUUUUUUCAUUGUUAACUAUUGCAUGUGAUUUUUCGUAGGGCUAAGGUGACAAAAAAUUCUUUGGUGGAAGCUGGAAUAUUCUCUUGAGUCGUGUAAGUUCAGUAGGUAUCUUUCCAACUCACUGACUAAAUAAAAUGAUGUCCACAAGUUGUUUUUCUAUUUCUUGGAGUUGCUUCCCUUGAUUUGAGAAAUAGUUAUCUGUCCGCUCGGGAUCGGGAAGGGAUAGUGUGUCGAUGGCUUAGCUCCCUUUCUCUAUAGUCCUUGGAGCCCAGAUAUGGAGGAGUUUAGAGGAUAUGUAAUCAAGCCUUGCUGCCCCUUUGCCUUUUGUUUUGUUUGAUUUGAGAAUAGAAUCAUCGGUGAUAUGUAUUUUAGAUUUAGCCCAUUGCAAAGAGUAUGGGAUGCGUGAGGCAUGAAGUUUCAAAGCUUUUUAGGGCUAUCCUCUUCUCCUAUUGUAAAUUAUCUGACUUUCUUGUCCUAUCUUAACUUUAUUUGAAUUAUGCUUUGUAAGAAAUUAUAUGAAAUGUGAAACUUAUUUGGUGUGUUCAUGAUUCCUGUUAUGAAUAUUUAUUUUUCAAAAAUUCUCCACUUUUAUAUGCCGGCAGAUAAUCUAUUCUGCAUGCCCAUUUCAAUCUCUGUUUUAACUACUCUUAUGUACACAUAUAAAUUGUGAAAAACUGGGAGAAGUUUGAUUAUUCUAGGUUGAGUCAUGGUUUUUGAGUCGCGACUCAUGCGAGUCGCUUUGGGGCAGCGACUCGGAAGAAGUCGAGCCUGCGUUGUGACUAGUCGCGACUCUGAGUCGCGAGUCGACACUAAGCUGAGUCGACCAUAUUUUUGCGACUCAUAGACUAGUCGUCGACUAGUCGCGACUAGUCGAGCGACUCGAAAUCCAUGGGUUGAGUACAUGGUCUAAUCAUAUGCACAGGCUUGACUUUCUGUCAUGAAUCUGAGAGGGUACUGAUGGUGUGCACCGGAGGCAACUAAAGGUAAAUCAGUACUUCCAAUUCUAUGUACACAUGCAAAAGGAUUGUGUUUGUUAUGAAAAGAAGACCUGAGUUUCAUUGUAUGAUGACAAGAUGAUUAAGAAGUCUUUUGUUUUGUUGCAUUUUUAUUAUACUCUUUUGAGCAUCCUUCUAUGUUUUAUUUUCAUUUUUUCAAGCCCCAAUUCAGUAUCUUUGUUAUCCAUGUGCUUACUGCCUUUUGUGUGUUUGUAUUUUGUCUCACAGACAAUGAUGCAGAACUGAACACUACAAGUAUUGGGCCACUCUCACUGCCUAUGAUAAAUUGAUUAAUUCCACAACGCUGGUGGAGGCCUCCUCGAGCUUUGUAAUAAAGGAAGGAUGCUAUCAAGGUCAUCCCAAAGGCCAUUCUCAAUGUUGUUCUUGCUCAGAUGGGUUUGCUCGAUGCAAAGUAAAUGACUUGCAUGUGCCAUCGUGUUUAAGGGUGCUACUGUCUACUUGUGGCAUUCAUUGGAACUGAUAAAAAAUUAUGGCGGAGACCAGCUACUGAUGUUAAUGAGGCCAUGCAAAGUGCUGCUACUGAGUGUCUGAGAUGUCUUGUGGGCAUGAUGAGAGAUUGAGUUUGAUAUCCCCAAGUGAAAAAGAUGAAGGAUGAGAUGGGACCCCUCCCAUGCAAUAUCGAUGGCAUGAUGAGAGAUUGAGUUAUUGCCAUGCUUUCUGAGUUGGUGCAAAUAUGCAUCUGUUCUGCCCCUAUUGUAGAUUAUGUGUGUUCUGGAUGGGUCAUAUCAGGCAGUCAAUGUCUAUAUAAAAAUGCCACCCCUUGCCUAUUGUAGUCUAAAUAUAUGUGUAUCCUACAUCGGUGCUACCAGACAGACUGGAUGUUAUUCUGUAUCAUGCACACACCCCACUGUUAUUAUUGGUAAAAACAUAUGUACCACAUUUAUCUCUUUUCUUGCAAACUAUGCUUAAUACCAAUGUACAACGGUCCUUUCCUUCAUAAUGUACUCCUGGUCUAUUUUAUCAUUCAACAAUUAAGACUAUAGAAGGUAUCAUGCCUUGCUUUGAGUUAUUUUCAUUCUGCUUUAAAUAUUUAGUAGAUUGUUGCUUAUUUUCACUUUCAAUUAUAUUGUUACCGGGUUACUAAUGGUAACAUGCCCAAUUAACCUAAUAGAUUAUUUUACCCUUUUCAAUGAAUGUAGCUCUAUGCCAUCUGUGUUACCAUCAAGAGAAGGUAUAUGCUCGAAGAAGCUAUCAAACUGAUCGACGGUACAAUUCAUGCAUUCGAACUUGCUGGUGCUGAUGAUGCCAUAGUAAUGGCAUCAGUGAAAAUCGAUCUCUGCCCCCACAACAAAAGCAUAUUACCGACUCAACAUGAAUAUUAUGGAGAAUCAACUCAGCUUGCCAGCGGUGCUAUUGAGUCAACAUGUUCUGCUGCUUUAGCCUAUCUACUGACCAUGGGCAUAAUUACAAGAGAUGAUCCCAACUUGGUGGAGCUCAAGAAAUGACAAAGACAACUCAAAGCUAAGUAGGUCAUCAGUGUUAUAUGGUCGUGCGCAAUCCUUUCAGAAUCAGCUCGCCUCUUUGACCAUGAGAACACUCCAGCAACUAAAAGUGUCAACAAAUUAGAGGUAAUCACAGUAUUGGUCAGCUUUUCACUUGCAUUACUUGCAUACAAAUGAACAUUAACCUCUAGGAUGGCCUUACCGAAACUGCGGGCUCACAGCCACCAAACGAGUAACAUACCCUCCCUCCCACUCUUCAGACUUUUACAACUAUAUACAUUACUCAUGUUUGUUGCUUUCCCAGUGAAACAGACCACAGGUCCAAAACAAAGUCCCAGCCUACUACCCGCAGGACUUUAGUCUUUAAAGACUAAAUGCACGGAUCGCAUCUAUCGACUAUCACUGUGAAUCUCAAAAGACACGCUUCAUUCUUAUGCCUCUUAUAAGCCCGUUGCCAUAUGCACACGCUUCAUUCUUAUGCCUCUUAUAAGCCCGUUGCCAUAUGCACUUCGCCUUUAUUUGGACUAGGUAACACUAUCUGUCCUGGUAAAAUUAUCUUCUCUAUAGGUACAAGCCUGAAUUUGUGGUCUCUUUUGGUAGACGCGGUAUGUAAUGACGAAUCACGUCGACCUCCGUCUAAAUGCAUGGAACUUGCCACUGAAUUAUCUGAACUGCUGCCCAGGAUUCAAUUCAUACUUUAUUUACCUAUAAUAUGGUAUGUAAUGACAAGGAAGUCGAGGACCUUUUGUAGUUGCGUGAACCAACUGCUACGUACUAAAUAUGUAUAUAGCUUACUUUUGGAUUGAAACCUUUUGUUUUUUGCUGGACCAAUUGCUAUGUAUUGAGUGUGUAUGUAUCGAUGCAAUGUUUCUGAUCUAAACUUGAUAUAUUAGAUUGAUAAACACAACUACAUUAUCCUAUUUUCUAUAUUCGC